UACGUAGGGGGCAAGCGUUGUCCGGAUUUAUUGGGCGUAAAGAGCGUGUAGGCGGCAGGUAGGUCCGUUGUGAAAACUCGAGGCUCAACCUCGAGACGCCGGUGGAAACCAUCUAGCUAGAGUCCGGAAGAGGAGAGUGGAAUUCCUGGUGUAGCGGUGAAAUGCGCAGAUAUCAGGAAGAACACCCGUGGCGAAGGCGGCUCUCUGGGACGUGACUGACGCUGAGACGCGAAAGCGUGGGGAGCGAACAGG
rnacentral:rRNA from 1 species